AGCGCGAGAACCUGUCUCGGGAUUUAAAACAAAGCAAAGCAAAGCAAAGCAAAACAAAAGCAACAACCCACGGAGGUGUGGGGACUUAGCUCAGGGCGAAGGCCCUGGGUUCCAGCCCCAGUACCGACACAGGGAGCGUAGAGAGGACUCCAACCUGCCCUGAUUUGCUAUCUGGUUCAGAGACAAAACGAGAUGGACAGGUCUCAGUACAGUUGGGCUACGCUUUGUUGCUGCUGCUGUUUUCCUCUUUUAUUUUCAGUACUGAAGACGGAACCCGGGAUCUUGGCCCAGAGCUGUAUCACCCACUGUUUCUUUUUUGACUUUGAGAUUCUUGUUGGCCAGACUGUGUUCCAACUUUAUGUCUUGCUGCUUUAGUCUCUGAUUUGUACCUGGCUGAGCUUUUACUGGAUGCUCUGUCCUCAGAACCCAGCUAAUGCCAGCCUGUGCUGUUUGCUGAGGGGAUGACCUAGGGACUUGCAGUCCUAAGUCCUCCAUGUCCUGAGAUGCAAUUCUGGGGUGGCUGGAGCCAGGCGCUUGGAGCGAGGGGCUCACAAGGCGGCACCGUGGACCUGCCAGUUCUCCCGAUCAGCUGGAACUGCUGCCACAGCUCUCCCUCUGAGCUGCAGCCUCAGCCCUCUUCGGAACAGAGCCAAGGGCUCCGAGUGUGGGACCCCUGUCCCUGGGGCCUGGCUGAAUCGUCCUGCAGCCACUCUGUCCUCUGCCUGGCCUUGGCUGCUGGCCCAGUCACUUCCCCCCCAAAGGUCACGGCGCAGACGCCAGCACAGCUUGUGUCUCCGUGGGCCCAGAACCCCCUUCUCCCGCCCGGGGGGCAGCAGCACCCAGGCCUGUUCCAUCAGUGUCCUCAGCUUCACUGUGAUUUUCGCGAAUCCCUGUGUGCUGCACACCAGGACUGUGUCAUCGCCAUGGACAGCUGUGGCCAUGCUGGCAGUGGGCCUCUCAGGAGCUUCCUCUCCCUGAGCCUCUCCUACUCUCGGCCUCUGCCGUCCACAAGAGUUCACGCUUCCAUCCUGGGCACAGGAACUCGACACAGCUGACAUGGGUGGGAGCUGUUUCUCCUCCAUCACAGCUGCCAUCCUGCUGAGUGGGGGGCCCGUCCUCCGAGCUCCGGGAGGGCCCCGCGUGUCGCGGGUCACAUGGGGAUGUGCCCAUGUUCCCUCACCUGCUGUGGCUCCCGGUGCCUCCUGCAGCCUGGUCAACCCAUCCGGCCUCCUGGAGAGAACCGUGCCCUCCAUCCUCGGCCACUUGACAGCUGGCCUGGUUGACAGGGUCACUCCCUUUCCUCCUCAAACCCUCUUUCCUUACCCCCUGGCCUUGCAGUUUCCUGGUUUAUUUAUGUAUUUAUUGGUGGUGUUGUUUUGAGACAGGUCUUGCUAUAUAGUCCAGGGUGGCUUUCAACUUGCUAUGUAGCCCAGGUUGGCCUUGAAUUUGUGAUGAUCCUCCUGCCUCAGCCUCCUGAGUGCUGGGAUGACAGGGGUGGGCUACCAUGCCUGGCUUUCAAUAAUAUCAGUCCCCAACCUGAGACUGUACCCUGGGCCAUAGAAAGGCUUCAGAAGGCCAAGGCACCUGGACGAGUUCAUCCAGAGCGCCCCACUGUACCCGAAACUGGCAGUGACAGGAUCGCCACCAGGAGGCAGUGUCAGGCUUGCCUCUGUUGGGUGGGGCUUUGGUCUAGAGUUUAGGAAAGGGGCAGGGCAGCUGUGGAACUCUUGCCCACCUUCCCCACUCCUUCUGAGAGGUGGGUUGUGUUUUCUUUAUUUCCUUCAGGAGGGAACAGAAUUGAGCCAGGCCUGGUGGGGCACACCUGUAGUCUCAGCACUGGAAGGCUGAGGCAGGAGGAUCACAAUGAGUUUGAGGCCAGAGUGGACUACAUACUGAGUUCAAGGCCAGCGUGAACUACACAGCAAGACCUUUUCUCACCCCUCCCAAAAGAAGCUGGGAUUUGAACCCUGAUCCUUGGGACUCCCCGCGGGCAGCUGCUUCCUCUGUUCCCACCUCCUCUGGCUCCCUCUGCUUCCUCCACUCCUGGCCUGGACCUGAAUCUGGGUGGGAGGCUGGGGCUACAGAGCCAGGGUCCUGGGCCUCCCUAGCUGAGCCACCUCCAACCCCUCUCACCCCAGAUCAAGCACGCAGAGAUGCGUUCUGGGGGGCCUGAGUCCCAUCACCUGCCCAGGAAGUUAUGCCCCCUAGGGUUCAGGGGGACAGGGCUACCCAUGGUUCUCAGCCCAAGGCAGGGCCCUGUCCCCUGUCAGGACCCCAGAGAGCCCCAACUCUCGGAAGCUCCCACCUCAGCCAUCCCUCGGCCUGGGACAUUGGCCUGAUUCCUGUCACCUAAACCCUGGCUCUGAUUGACACCUUUUCCAUUUUUUCAGUAUUUACUUAUUUGGGGGACUUUUUGGAUGCAGGUCUCAAUGUGUAGCCCAUGCUGACCUAGAACCUACAUCGAUCCUCCUGCCUCAGCCUCCUGAGUGCCAGGACUACAGGCAGGCACCCUGAGCUGGGCACUGACAGCUUUCUGAGAGGCCCUGAGCACCGCCCGCUGGGCUCUCUGGCUGCAUCACCGCUUGGAUUCCUCCUUCACACAGUGCAGCUCCUGCUCAGAACUGCAUAGUCCCGAGGUGGCCGAGUGCUCUUCUGGUCUCGGUCUGUGCUCUGCAGGAAGGACGAGGUUCCUGCCGGGACCUGGGGCGGCAGAGCAGCCCAGAACUGUCCUGAUGGUGGGACAGUGGUCACCUGCAGGGGGGUAGUGACGGGGUCCCCGGGUCAAGGAGACAGGGACGGGGAGGCCAGGACUGGCGCCUGGGGACAGCCUGGCUUGGCCCCACCUCCGGUCCAUUUGUCCCUCACCACCUUGCUGGCCACCUUGAAAGCCAGAGGUGGGGUGACUUCAGUCCCCCCAGCUCUGGUUCCUUUAUCAGAUAAACGACAGUUUCUACCUGGGGUGUGAACCCCAGGAGCGGUCACGGGGAGACCUCAAAGCAGCUCCAGCAAGCAGGAGAAACCAGACAGCCCACACGUUUUCGGUUUCACAGUCUCUGUAACUUUGGUUUGAAGCCAAGCUAGUCCAUUUAGCAAGGCAACCUUGGACAAUUACCUAACUUCUCUGAGCUUGUUUCUUUGUUUUUGUUGCUGUUGUUUCUUUCUUUCUUUUUUGGUACCAGGGAUAGAACUUGGGUCCCUGAGCUUGCAAGGCAGGCGCCAGAACCACCGAGCUAAAUCCCCGACCCAUUUCUUAUUUUUAUUAUUUACUUAUCGCAGUACUAGGAAUUGAACCCAGGGCCUUUCCACUGAGCUACAUCCCCAGCUCAUUUUUCAUUUUGAGACAAGGUCUCACUAAAUUGCCCAGGCUGGGCUUGAAUUUGAGAUCCUCUUGCCUCAGCCUCCCAGAGUACUGGGAUCACACAUGUGCACCACUAUGAUGAACCAGUUUUGUUUUUUUUUUUUUCAGAUUAACCAUACUCAUGCCACAGGCUUGAGUUGUGGAUCUAAAAGGGAAAAAUACUCCAGUGUGAUGGCACAUGCUGGUAAUCCCAGCACUUGGGAGGCUGAGGCAGGAAGAUCGCUACAACUCCAAGGCCAGUGUGGACUGGCAUAGAAAGACUGUCUCAGGAGUAGAGAGGAAAAUGUGAACCCUUAACAGGGUGUCCCUUCCCCUAACCUCGCAGCCCUCAUUCACAAACGCAUUUGCUGCGGUCAAGGCAGGGAGCCCGUGGCAGGUCCGACAGAGUCGGGUCCUUCCGGUCUCACAGUCCGGUGCGAGCUCCCCUGGCAGGACGGCUCUCAUCCCUGUGCUCGGACCGCAGGGCGCGGGGGCCGAGGCCUCUGAUGCAGUUCCUGGAGGGCGGGCUG
rnacentral:lncRNA from 1 species